UCUUUAUCAAAGAACAUCUUUGUGAUCAGAUUAAUCAACAAUUGAUGGGUGAGGAAGCUAAGACUCAGAGAAGAUAGGUAGAGACCUUUCAAGUCUCUGAUAUAGAACCAGAGCUAAAAAAUGACGUGCUCCAUGGCCUCCAGGUCCCAGGAAAGGGCUGUAUUACUGCAGCACUGACUUUAAGUCCUUUACCACAGCCAUCACUCAGGUGAGGAAACUGACAACUCAAAGAAGAUACUAACUUUCCCGCCCACCGCCUCUCCUCCAAGCUGGCAGGCUCCCGAGAGGCCAGGGCCAUAUCAGUUUCAAAGAUCGCUGUCAGGGUGCGAGCAACUGAAGUUGAAAUGGCCGGAAAGCGGAAACUUUUCUUCAGAGUUGUACAGUCGGUGGAAUAUUCAUAGAAGUGUAAUGUGACACAGGAUGCCGAGUCGGUGUCGAAACUUUGUUCCAAACCAUAUUUGCUAUUUGUAAAACUGGUCCCUCAGGGGCCAGCUACGGAUAAGGGUGAGGGUCAGAAGGAAUGGCCAUCUGGAGACAAACGGGCUGAGUCAGUGGUACCCAUUGAAGGCUUGGGCAGCUCUGCCUGACGACGUAUGGGGAGAGGCACCUGUGAGAAAGGGAAAGGGGCCUUGACCUAGAGAUUUGUUACUGAGAGAAGGCCACCGGAAAUAGACAAGCAGGGUCGGCAAUUCAUGAGGCGACAGGAGCUGAGUUCUGGGCUGUCAUGGAUGCCCGUGCUGACUUGGACAGUGCAGCCCCAGGGAGCCCCUGAGAGUCAUACCUGGACCCUGCAGGACGCCGAGCUCAAGGCCAUCUCGCACUCAGAUGACGGGGAAGUCGUGCCUCCUUGGCAAGCAGGACCCUGUGAACAGAAACAGAACAUCCUUCAUAAUAGAAUCCGACCCAGUUUUUGGCUGAUGGGACAUCCAAAAGGACAUAGGUGCCUUUGUUUGGUUUGUGCUGACAUCAAGAGAGCAAACUGAACCCAGGCCUUCAGUGGAUUGGAUGGUGCCCACCGCAGUGGUGAGGGUGAUCUUCUUUACUCCAUCCACCCAUCCAAAUGCUGAUCUCCUCCAGAAAUACCCUCACAGACAUGCCCAGAAAUAAUGUUUCACCAGCUGCCUGGGCAUUCCUUAGCCCAGUCGAGCUGACAUGUAAAAUCAACCGUCACAAAUAACUGCGUUUGAAGGGUAAAAGCCCCAUGUCUCCUCGGCCAGUGGGUGUUUAUCAGAGGACAGUGGAAAAGAGGGACAAAAAUGCCUGGAUAUAACAUUAAGAGUUGGCAGGACCCGGCCUCUAAAAGGAAGUGUUAAAACAAUGUUUUUGACAUCAAGGCUCUUCUCAAAGUUGAUAAAGGAGAGCUUGCGGAAAAGCUCAUGUGCUGUCUCUUCAGUGGAGAGUUCAAUCCAGGAAUAAGAUGUGAUUAAGAAUCUUGAGAUGGAGAGUUACCUUGGAUUAUCUGGGCGAAGCACUGCCCGUUUCUUCAACUCUGGAGCUGUGGAGGAGUAUUUUUUUGGGACUGGAGGCCACACCCAUCCCUUCUCUGGGCGUGUUAUCUCCCUCUGUCUCAUGGGGAAACUCACACCAUGCACUGGAGCUUCAGCAGGAAGCACUGAUUUGGCUUCUGUUCCUGGUCCAAUCCAAGUCCCAGCAUCGUCGGCGAGAGGAAGAGCCGUUGCCAUGGACUAAAAGGCCAGUGUGCACGGGCAUCCCCUCCACCACCUCUCACGGACGGAGCGGCCCCGCAAGGCAGACAUCACAGCCUUCAGUUUACAGUUCAAACAGUUAACCUGUUGAUAGUGGUGAACAUCACCUUCUUCCUCAUGGCGUCACACCAGCAGAUCCCCUCACAGCCCCCCAGGAAAGGGUUCUCACGACAGCUGCUUUCACUGUGCUGCUCAGAAGGGACGCACUUCAGUGAGCUCCCCGCGCCCCCAGGCAUUAUGCCGAAAUCGUAUUUCCAGGGGGCAGAGGGCCUGUGGACCAGGACGGUGGGGAUCUCAGCCCUUGCCCACUGCCCACGUUAGAACCUUCAUUAAUCUGUGAGUUCUUUGCCCCCUCACCUUUACCCAAAGAAUAAUGCCUCCCCCAGAAUUACACAAAAAUCAAUGGCAAAGUUAAUUGAAAUCUGGAUCUCUUAAUGUUUUUCUCUUUCUUAAGUGAUUGCUUGGUUUCCAAAGAGUGAGGUUGAACUCAAAGGAUGGCUUUAAUUGAGCAGGAGUGAAUUGGUAAGAGAGAGAAAGCAGAGGUAGAUAAUUUUCCAAGUGACUGAAAGAUAGGGUUUUUUCUUUUUUCUGAAAAAUAAUGUAUUUUGAACUUAAGGAAAAUAAU